AGAGAAAAAGUAUGGAUUUUAAUUAAUUGAAAGGUUUGUGGGAUGGGUUAUAUAUGUGAAGUCUUGAACACAAGACAGAAUACAGAGAGAGACAAUAGAAAGAGAUAAGAAAAAAAAUACACACACAGAUAGAGAGAAAAAACGGACAGAGAAUAGAAGAGAGAAAAAUUCCGAAAAAUAUUUAAGCUUUCAAAAAUAAAAAUAAAAGCUAAAAAAUCUACUGCUUUCUUUCUUUGUUUGAAAUUAGUAUUAAUGGUUGUUGUUUCAUUUAAAGCUUAAAGCUUUUGUUUUUGGGAUUACUACUCCACCGGUCUGUUACUGGGUUGUUACUGUUGCUGGGCAGUUGUUGCUGUUGUACUGUUAUU
rnacentral:lncRNA from 1 species